GCCACCGGCUGGAAGAUCGUUUAGGCACUCUUCUAUAAAGUUGAGGCCUUUACACUGAAGGACUUAUGAGGCAGAAAGGGAUAGGAGUUCCUGCAACUUGGCGAAGGCAUUGGAUUCGGCUACAGAAGGCUCGACCGACGCAACAGAUAGCCCGGCUACUCCAGAAGUAUUCAAGAGGAGAGUGUCGAGCUCGAUUUCCUAUGAAGGCUACACAUGAAAAGGUUUUAGGCAAAAGGAAAAUCGUAAAGAAUAUAGUAGAGAGAAUUUAUUUUAGACCUGUUGAGAGGAGACUUCGGCCAUGUCCCCUGGUUCAUUGCUCGAACCUAGAUAGCUUAAUGGCCGAGCCCAAUGUUUAAGAUUGCUUCUCAAUUCACGCAGCCGAUGAAGGUUAUCUACGUUCAACGACCACUAAGGUGGCCAGAAAAUAUAGAUAACACCAUUCGGCACAUAGAAUUUUUUAUGAAAUGAACAAUCGGGCACCUGACAUUUAAUAUUUUUUCUUGGUUUAGACUUGUUAUAGUAAAAUUAACGAGAGAAAGGGAUUGAGCCUUACAAAAGUCGAAGUGAAUUUUUGUGGAGGAAUGCCAAGGUGUUGAUCCUGUGGAUGGAUUGAUGUCUUUGCCGUUGCUUUAGGCUUGACAAGAGGCUUUUUUCCACGAUCGGCUACAGGAGGAUCGACCUGAUCAGUCACCUUAACCAUAGGUGGAAGAUUGGUGGUAGGUGGUUCAAUUGGUUGAUGGUGACUUCAUAACGGGAUUUCUCGUUGUCGUCGUCCUGAAAUAGGAGUUGUUAGUAUUCAGAAUCUAGUCGAAAGUAAAAGUUGCCAGCAAGAUGAUCAUACCUCUUCCUCCAGAACGACUACUGGUUUUGUUUUUGGAUUUGAAGGAGGAUUUUUCUCGACUAGAGUGGCUGCUUUCUUAAUGGUAGCAGGUAUUGAACCGAUAGUAGGAGUAACAGCCGAUUCCGGAAUGGUAACAUUUCGACCAAUGGAGCAACGAUUAGUUCAGACACUGCUACAAGAGUAGUUUAUACUUCAGUCGCCUAAGUUCGUUAGAGGAUUUUACGGUCUUCUUGCCGAGGCCUCGACAACAGAAGGAGAGGGGAUACGCUGGGA
rnacentral:lncRNA from 1 species